rnacentral:rRNA from 1 species
GACGAACGCUGGCGGCGCGCUUAACACAUGCAAGUCGAGCGAAGCGGCGGACGGGUGAGUAACACGUGAGUAACCCGCCUUAGACAGUGGGAUAGCCUCGGGAAACCGGGAUUAAUACCAAAUGGUCUAAGAUGGACUCGCGUCCCAUUAGCUUGUUGGUGAGGUAACGGCCCACCAAGGCGACGAUGAGUAGCCGGCCUGAGAGGGUGAACGGGCACAUUGGCAGUGAGAAACGGUGCAAACUCUACGAGAGGCAGCAGUGGGGAAUAUUGCACCAUGGCGGGAACUCUGAUGCCGCGACGGCGCGUGAACGAAGAAGGCUUUCGAGAAGUAAAGUUCUUUUAUAUGGGAAGCGGUACCAUAAGAAAAAGCCCCGGCUAACUACGUGCCAGCAGCCGCGGUAAUUC